UCCUUCGCAUUUUACAGCACACAUAUAUCUGACAACUAGACAUCUAGGCUUUACCAAGCAAAACAGACGUACUGAGUACAUCCACCUCUGCAUCUGCGUACCCGCCAUGGUGGAUGAUGAUAUAUCUCGCCGAGUCAGCAAAGUUUUUGACGUUCACCAUAUUAACUGCUGCAACGAAGCUGAGCAUAUUUGUCACCUUCCACAUGUACUAGCGGCACCUUGAUACCCUUAUUCUCAUCUUCCCAACCUCUCCGCAUCUCAAUAUUCUCUAGCUACUGUAACCCAUAUCACAUUCCGGCCCUUCUUAGCCUUAGCCCCCACAUGUGCGCGUUCCACCAUGCCCUCACAUCACCAUUCUCGCCUGUUGGUGGACCGGCAAUAUCAAUGAAAAGAAGUAAUCCUCCCGGUUGGAAAAGAUCGACCGUGAAGAUGAAUGAUGUAUGCGAGGGAAAGGAUGGGGAGAUGGAUGAGAAAUGAAGGUGGAUGAUACAGAAGGAGCAGCAUGGAGUGUAACAUAGGGGUGGAGCUGGGCAGCUAACUAACUACAGUCAGCCUCAUGUCAAAAAAAAUCGACAUGGACUUACUCGCAAUUGGCCGGCACAUACAUAGCCAUCGAGAGUCGGCAUUUUUUUCAUUCAACCAUCAUCCAUUCACGAGUGUCAAAUUGGGGCAGCGUUUACUGGGAAACAGUCAGCCUUAUCCUGUUCGACCAUCAUUCUUACCCUAUGAUCUUUCAGCCAUGUUAAUCGCCCAGCUAAAGUUCCUCAGCUUUUCUCAUCCUAUUGAUGGAGAUUACACCUACGAUCCUGUGCAUGUGCCAAUAUCCAAUAUUCCGGCUCGCUGGUCUUGAAACAAACUUGUUAAGGUGGGGCAAAGUAAGGGAGAAACGUACUACCCAUAGCUUCAAAAUGUGAUGCUUUGACAUUUCAAUUUACUCUUGAGCUCUUGGUCAUGAGAUAGAUCUUAUCUUCGAAUCUUGUCUAUUCCGAAAACACAAAUGAGUACAUAUGACCAACCCAAAAUCAAUGAUAAAAUACCUACUUCCAGCUCCGCUUCAUCGACCAUCCAUCCGCCUUUUCACAACUAGCUGGAUGGGUUUACCUCUCCAUUCUGUGAAUCGCGUCUUGUUUUAACUUGAGGUGGGUGAUUUUGAGUGUUGGCUGGGUGCCUUGCGGGAUCUAGAAGUUUCUCUGCGGGGCAAGCUGAGGUCUCUGCUUAGAGUUAAGGGAAAAAGUGGCGCAGGGGCGGCGUCUGUUGAUACCAAAUCCUAAUGGACGAUGUUAGAUUCGAGUUGUAAAUUUAUAAGCUAGAAAUGAUAACGAUCGACAGGGUAUGGGCCAAAAUUAGUAGUUUUAUAUCUCAGCG
rnacentral:sRNA from 1 species